CACGUAGGGUGCGAGCGUUAAUCGGAAUUACUGGGCGUAAAGUGUGCGCAGGUUGCCGCGCAAGUCGAGUGUGAAAUCCCCGAGCUUAACUUGGGAAUUGCGCUCGAAACUACGUGGCUCGAGUGUGGCAGAGGAAGGUGGAAUUCCACGUGUAGCGGUGAAAUGCGUAGAGAUGUGGAGGAACACCGAUGGCGAAGGCAGCCUUCUGGGCCAACACUGACGCUCAUGCACGAAAGCGUGGGGAGCAAACAGG
rnacentral:rRNA from 1 species